rnacentral:tRNA from 1 species
GCUGACGUAGCUCAAUUGGCAGAGCAACUGAUUUGUAAUCAGUAGGUUGUCGGUUCGAUUCCGGCUGUCAGCUCCA